AUUUUAAUUAAUUUUGCUCACUAGUGGUUCGUUUGACGUUUUUCUCAAUAGGCAGUGAGUGCCAGAAAGAUCGUUUAAAGGUAGAAGCCAGCCACCAUCUCUACAUGUGCGCAAGGAAGUGGCGCAGUAGACCGACGAGUAAUGACUGAACUGGUUUUACUCUCAUUGAUAUGGGAAAUUACUGAGAGGAACGUGGGCGCCUGUGGUCGGCACUAGAGCUGUCGCCAUUUUGAUGGUGCGCACCAGACUGCGCAAUGGCACAGAGGUGCUUUUUUUUUUUGUUAGUUUUCAGUAUCAAAUGGAUUGAAAUACAGAAAAAUACUACUCAAUUCAAUAAUGAAAUCGUUGCCAGCCAUCAUUAUUGAGAAAUACGUAGGACAAACGCCGGCGUUACCUCAAACAACAACGGUGAUCUGUGGCCAUCUUGACUCGGCGCCGGCUAGUUGCGCAGUGGGAAUUUGAACUAGGAACCGUUUAACAUUUUGUUUGUGAAUUAAUAACGGUUAAUGAUCAAUAAUCAAUGUCAUCAAGUCUUCUGACAUUAAAAUUAUUUAGUAUUAAUAAUUACUAGUGGCCAUAAAUCGACGUCAUUAAGAGUUGAUAAUUAAUGUAAUGAAAAACAUGUAAUAAUGAAUUCAAUUAACUUUUUGUAGUUGAAAUUGUGUGCUACUAAUUAUCCCUAAUUGCCAUAAAUGCUCACCAUCAAUCAUGGGUAAUAAUUAAUUAGAAUAAUGAUUAAUAACUAAUAAUCGACGACAAAAACAAAAUGUGGAUUUCAUGAAAUUUUCAAUAUUUCUUGUUUGAACAAUGCGAUUUGAACGAAUCAAAGCUCAUUUUAAAGCUAAGAAACAACCCU